UGUCCCCUGCGGGGCGCGUGAUGCCCAGCAGAAAUUCGAACCGAUACGUCCAUCACGGGGUCCGUUUCAGGUUCCAUGAGCAAGCCCUCCCCUUCGGGGACUGAGGGAAGCCUACGGUUCCAUGACUUCGAACCCCACCUGGCUUUUUAGGGUUCAAUGGACGCUAGGCACACGGCCAUUUCGCGGGGGGCUU
rnacentral:other from 1 species